UAGGGAUACUUGUCUAAACUUAAGAGAUAU
rnacentral:piRNA from 1 species